CUGAGAUCUAACUUCCCUGCUGUGAUCCCUGCCUUUCUACUAACAGGGAGCCCAGGCGCAGAGCUACUAAUGAGCAUGCUGGAGAGAGUGUCCAGCCCAGCUCCGGCUAGAGACAAUCCACCUGUCUGCUCUCCGACGCAGGGUUCCUUGGUCAACUCUGGGUGUUAAGUUAAUGAGAUGCUGAAUGAC
rnacentral:lncRNA from 1 species